AGCGAACGCUGGCGGCAGGCUUAACACAUGCCAGUCGAGCGGGCAUCCUUGUGGUGUCAGCGGCAGACGGGUGAGUAACGCGUGGGAACGUGCCCUUCGGUUCGGAAUAACUCAGGGAAACUUGGGCUAAUACCGGAUACGUGCGAGAGCAGAAAGGUUUAUCUGCCGAAGGAUCGGCCCGCGUCUGAUUAGCUAGUUGGUGAGGUUACGGCUCACCAAGGCGACGAUCAGUAGCUGGUCUGAGAGGAUGAUCAGCCACACUGGGACUGAGACACGGCCCAGACUCCUACGGGAGGCAGCAGUGGGGAAUAUUGGACAAUGGGGGCAACCCUGAUCCAGCCAUGCCGCGUGAGUGAUGACGGCCUUAGGGUUGUAAAGCUCUUUUCUCCGGGACGAUAAUGACGGUACCGGAGGAAUAAGCCCCGGCUAACUUCGUG
rnacentral:rRNA from 1 species